ACUCGGAGAAUUAAAAUUGGGAGGAGAGAAACUGGGACUUUUCUUUCCCCUCCUCUGCCUCCCUCCCCCCCCUCUCCCUUUGAAGCUGAGGGGAGGGCGACUGCCCCGGGACACUGCUAAAAAAAAAUAGAGGCUGAGAGAGAUCAAAAACCGGCUCCGCAGGUCCCAGAGGCGGCUUCUCGCCCCCGACACAUUCCCCGAACUGCGCGGCGGAGGCAAAGGCAAGGGGAGAGAAAGAGGAGGAGAAGGGGGGAAAACCUCCGUGUUCCCCCAUGCCGCCGGUGCCCCGUCCUGCUCCGGGACGGGAGGCAGAUUCCUGCUCCCUUCCCACCCUCCUUUCCUCUUCCCGUGCCUCCCUCCGUAGUUUCCAGCUCAACACGGAAUCACGCUGGGAUUUAGAGACAGCAGAAAACACGGAUCGCCGUGCGGUUGGUGUGAAAGGAGGCGGCUGAUUUACCACCCCCCACUUCCUUGGCCAGGAGCAGGGGCAUAUCUCAGCCUCCCGGGAUUGAAACCGGAGUCAUUUACUCCUGGAAGCGUCCUGCUCCAGCUACUUUAGAACUGUCCCUGCACCCCCAAAUAACCCCCCUUGUCCACAGAGCCAUCCCUCCAGGUGUAACCCGGCACGGCCGCCUCGCACAGUGCUUCACGUUUACCAUCCCAUGCUCCCAAAUCCAGGUUGUACGAGCAUCGUGGUGAAAUCUGCGCGAUUUCUCUCUGAGGAGGGGAAUAUUUCACCCCAAAUUCCCCUGAAGGGCCCAUGUAGGCAAUUACCGCCCUCUCCCAGUGCAGCGGAGGUGCUGCCUGCAUCCCGGGGGGGACCGGAGCCCUGUUUUCCCUGCAUUACCCCGCUCUCUCCCUGCCCCAGCAGGAAGCCCUUCCUCUUCUCUUUUUCACACUUGAAAUUAAAAACUAAACCUCAAACACUCGUGUCUGCAGUCAAAUUAAAGCAAAAUAAUAACAAUAAUAAUAAAAUCCCCGGGAUAAGGAAGCGUUUUGCCCCAGCCAGGAGCAAAGUGCCGGGAGGGAGGACGGACCUUCCUAAUGGAGUAAAACAAGCUGGGCCGGUGGUUGUUAAUUAUCCGGUUGCAUUCAAAUCCGUCACCCGGAGCCCGCUGCUUGUGUACUGAGAAGAGAAGCACAAAGAGAGCUAGCGUGAUCAAAUCAACAUCGCUGAGUAUGAACCGCGGGGAGAGCGCGGAAGAGCGGAAUCCCGCACGCACGGACAUCACUGCGCUCAUAGGGGCCUCGGGUCUGUACAUACAGAGGGAUCUGCACAUAGGCACAUCUCUGGAGGUCUUACAUUUCCAACCACAUCAGGACAGAGAUCCCAUCCUGCUGCGAUGGGGCUUGUAGCUGACAGCAGCAGGGACGGGCUGGGCGGCUUGGACAGUGCUGCAGCAUCAGGUCUGCCACGGAUGUGAAAGAGGAGGAGAAGAUGGCCCACGGUGAUAAGGUCCCAGGCAAUUUCUAUGGUGCCUCCUACUCUUCUCUGUCCAGACAGCUCCAGCGCUCCUCCGGGAUCUUAUCUCUCCCUAUUGCUGCACCUCUUCGGCCUCCCUCCUACAGUGUCCUGCUCAGCGUGGUGCAAAACACACUCCUAAUUGCACUGGCCUGGCCCAAAGCUCUGAUCCCAUCUGCCCUCUCUGACUCCCAUCACUGGCUUCACUGGUUUUAUCACCUAUUUCACUUACAUGUUUGAUGCCGCCUCUUCAAAGCCAGGCAGAGGUCAGCCCAGCCCCAGAUCCACCACUGUUUUUCCCUUUAUUUUCAGUUUGGGAAUUAAAAGUAAUAGUAAUUACCAGCCUUGAAAGGUUUAGCUUCUUCUUUUAGAUAUGUGGAGCCACUGAAACAAUUGGGAAGUCUGUGAGUCCAACCUCUGCAAGUGCAUUUAGUCCUGAGCUUGGAGAUCCACCGAGAGGAACGCAUCUCCCAAGAGCAAAGCAUCACUUGGAGACAGCCACAGCGAUUUCCAAAACAGCCCAUGUGCUUGUUUGCAGAGUUUCUGUUUUGCAAGGUAUUCAAAUAGUCAGAGACAAACAGGAGUUGGGCUUAAUCUGCCCAAUCUGCCAUUUAUCUGAAGAAUCACUUUCCCAUCACAACGCAACCACCACCAUGGAGGGCGAAGCAGUCGGUCCAGCUGACACAGGAGAGGGUGGUUUAUGACAGGGUGAAGUGACUCCUCUGCUGAGCACGGAUUUAGCAGAGGUGUUUGAGAACAGCAGUGCCCUGGAUCCUCAGUGGCUGGUGUUGAAGACCUACCACAUCCACCCCUUCGAGCGGAUGGGCAGCAAGAGCGAGCCUUGCUCCAUUAGAACAGCAUCACAAAGGGGGGACCUGAGAGGGACCGACCACGCAGGCAAGGUCUUGCUGUCCAGAGGAUGCACUGCCUCACGGCACUUUUCACUCUAUUCCCAAACCACAUUAAGCCUUUCUGAAUAAAAGCCAAUUUCCCUUUUCCCCCUUCCCUCGCCACCCAGCAUUCUGCCUGCCCUUGCACCACUCUUCCUAUGGAAAGUCACCGGCCUGUCUGGCCUGAUGGUCUAAAAGAAGGUGGAAAAAUGCAUUUCUCACAAUUUCAGCUCAUAAGGAGUGUUCCCAGCUCUCGCAGGGAUGCUCCAGGCCAGGAAACACAGAGGGAUAUUUACUUGUGAUGCAGCGCUGGGAUGGUGCUGGGAUUUUUGAGCCAAGUGU